UACGUAGGGGGCAAGCGUUGUCCGGAUUUAUUGGGCGUAAAGAGCUCGUAGGCGGUUCGUCGCGUCGGCUGUGAAAUCCCGAGGCUCAACCUCGGGUCUGCAGUCGAUACGGGCGGACUGGAGUUCGGCAGGGGAGACUGGAAUUCCUGGUGUAGCGGUGAAAUGCGCAGAUAUCAGGAGGAACACCGGUGGCGAAGGCGGGUCUCUGGGCCGAUACUGACGCUGAGGAGCGAAAGCGUGGGGAGCAAACAGG
rnacentral:rRNA from 1 species